rnacentral:rRNA from 1 species
UACGUAGGGGGCAAGCGUUGUCCGGAAUCAUUGGGCGUAAAGAGCGCGUAGGCGGCCAGAUAAGUCCGGUGUGAAAGUCACAGGCUCAACCUGUGAAUGCCGCUGGAAACUGUCUGGCUAGAGUCCGGAAGGGGCGAGUGGAAUUCCCGGUGUAGCGGUGAAAUGCGCAGAUAUCUGGAGGAACACCGGUGGCGAAGGCGGCAUCCUGGACCGAGAUUGACGCUGAGGCGCGAAAGCCAGGGGAGCAAACGGG